rnacentral:rRNA from 1 species
GCCAGACUCCUACGGGAGGCAGCAGUGGGGGAUAUUGCACAAUGGGGGGAACCCUGAUGCAGCGACGCCGCGUGGGUGAAGGAGCGUUUCGGCGCGUAAAGCCCUAUCGGCAGGGAAGAAGGAGGACGGUACCUGACUAAGAAGCCCCGGCUAACUACGUGCCAGCAGCCGCGGUAAUACGUAGGGGGCAAGCGUUAUCCGGAUUUACUGGGUGUAAAGGGGGCGCAGACGGCGAUGCAAGCCAGGAGUGAAAGCCCGGGGCCCAACCCCGGGACUGCUCUUGGAACUGCGUGGCUGGAGUGCAGGAGGGGCGGGCGGAAUUCCUGGUGUAGCGGUGAAAUGCGUAGAUAUCAGGAGGAACACCGGUGGCGAAGGCGGCCUGCUGGACUGCAACUGACGUUGAGGCCCGAAAGCGUGGGGAGCAAACAGGAUUAGAUACCCUUGUAC